CAGAGUUCCAUUUUGUGAGGUGCCUUUGCCAGCAGAGCACACUCCUCCUACCCCAGGGUACAGUUUCCAUGUAAGAGAAAAGGCAAAGUUUCUGUACAGCAAAGGAAAGCAGUUGUCACAAACAUCUCCAGGACUGUGGCAAGGACAGAGCACAAGGAUGAGGAAUGGUUCUGUGUGCUUGGAAACCUGGAUGUUUCUGCUGUGGAGCUGACCAUAGAUCAGCAUUCAGACCACUGGAAAAUCUGGACCAACAUGAUGUUGCAACCAGGGCACAGGCUGCCAGGAAGCAAACCUCCAGACAAAGCCCUUCAUUUGUAGCAGUCCUUUCCUUCCUCCACCUGUUUUGUGCCCUUUUAUUGCUUUGUUCCAUACAUAAACUUGUGCUUUUACACUCUUUGAAGUGUCCUGCAUGGUGUGGAGGUGGCAGCUCUGAAUGCUGAUGAAUCUCUGGAAGCCUCAGCAGUGUUUUGUUGGUUUGGGGGUCUUUGGGAGAGCUCACCCCCUUCUCCAC